rnacentral:tRNA from 1 species
GCGAGUGUAGCUCAAUUGGUUAGAGCAUCGAGCUUAUACCUCGGGGGUUCCAGGUUCGAGUCCUGGCACUCGCA